GUCCGGCUGGUGUAGUGGUUGUCACGUCUUGCUCACACUAAAGUUGUUGUUCGAAUAUUUGUUCGGAUGGUUAGCUCUUGUCAGAUUCCAAGGUGGCAGGUUCGAUCCCUGCGUCGGACA